AUUGAACGCUGGCGGCAGGCCUAACACAUGCAAGUCGAGCGAGCGGCGGACGGGUGAGUAAUGUAUGGGGACUGCCCGAUAGAGGGGGAUAACUACUGGAAACGGUUGCUAAUCCCGCAUACUGUCGGAUCACCCAUGUGGGAUUAGCUCGUGGGUGAGGUAAUGGCUUACCUAGGCGACGAACCCUAGCUGGUCUGCGAGGAUGAUCAGCCACACUGGGACUGAGACACGGCCCAGACUCCUACGGAGGCAGCAGUGGGGAAUAUUGCGCAAUGGGCGCAAGUCUGAUGCAGCCAUGCCGCGUGUAUGAAGAAGGCCCUAGGAUUGUAAAGCACUGUCAGUCGGGAGGCGUUACCGACAGAAGAAGCACCGGCUAACUCCGUGCCAGCAGCCGCGGUAAUAC
rnacentral:rRNA from 1 species